rnacentral:rRNA from 1 species
UACGAAGGGAGCUAGCGUUGUUCGGAAUCACUGGGCGUAAAGCGCACGUAGGCGGAUGUGUCAGUCAGGGGUGAAAUCCCGGAGCUCAACUUCGGAACUGCCUUUGAUACAGCACAUCUGGAGUCCGGAAGAGGUGGGUGGAAUUCCUAGUGUAGAGGUGAAAUUCGUAGAUAUUAGGAAGAACACCGGUGGCGAAGGCGGCCCACUGGUCCGGUACUGACGCGAGGU